rnacentral:rRNA from 1 species
UAUGUAGGGGGCAAGCGUUGUCCGGAAUCAUUGGGCGUAAAGAGCGCGUAGGCGGCCAGAUAAGUCCGGUGUGAAAGUCACAGGCUCAACCUGUGAAUGCUGCAGGAAACUGUCUGGCUUGAGUCCGGAAGGGGCGAGUGGAAUUCCUGGUGUAGCGGUGAAAUGCGCAGAUAUCAGGAGGAACACCAAUGGCGAAGGCAGCUCGCUGGAACGGUACUGACGCUGAGGCGCGAAAGCGUGGGGAGCAAACAGG